CAGCAGAGACGCCAAUACAGACGACAAAACCAGCAGUCUUCAUCUGACUCUGGUUCCUCCUUCUCCUCAGAAGAUGAACGACCCAAGAGAUCCCAUGUGAAGAAUGGUGAGGUUGGCAAGCGGCGGAGACAUUCCCCUUCCCGGAGUGCUUCUCCAUCACCACGAAAGCACCAAAAAGAGACUUCCCCUCAUGGUAGACGGAGGAGAAGUCCAUCCCCACCACCCACCAGAAGGCGACGGUCUCCUUCUCCCGCCCCUCAUCCUCGACGGCUCAGGACUCCCACACCACCACCACCACGACGAAGGACUCCUUCUCCUCCCCUACGUCGGCGCUCACCUUCUCCUAGAAGAUACUCUCCUCCAAUACAGAGGAGAUACUCUCCUUCUCCACCUCCAAAGAGAAGAACGGCUUCACCUCCUCCCCCUCCUAAACGAAGAGCAUCACCAUUUCCACCACCAAAGCGGCGGGUCUCCCAUUCUCCACCUUCCAAAGAAGCUCCCCAGUCACCAAGAGACGUUCACCUUCACUAUCAUCCAAGCAUAGGAAAGGGUCUUCCCCAAGCCGCUCUACCCGGGAGGCCCGAUCACCGCAUCCAAACAAAUGGCAUUCGCCCUCAUCACGGCCUCGAGCUCCUCAGACCUCAAGUCCUCCACCCGUUCGAAGAGGAGCGUCGUCAUCACCCCAAAGAAGGCAGUCCCCGUCUCCAAGUACUAGGCCCAUUAGGAGAGUCUCCAGGACUCCGGAACCUAAAAAGAUAAAAAAAGGCUGCUUCCCCAAGCCCACAGUCUGUAAGGAGGGUCUCAUCCUCCCGAUCUGUCUCUGGGUCUCCUGAGCCAGCAGCUAAAAAGCCCCCAGCAUCUCCAUCCCCCAUCCAGUCUCAGUCACCGUCUACAAACUGGUCACCAGCUGUACCGGUCAAAAAGGCCAAAAGCCCAACACCGAGCCCAUCACUGCCAAGAAAUUCAGAUCAAGAAGGAGAUGGAAAGAAAAAGAAGAAAAAGAAGGACAGGAAACACAAAAAGGAUAAGAAGCACAAGAAGCACAAAAAACACAAGAAGGAAAAGGCUGUGGCUGCAGCUGCUGCAGCUGCUGUGACCCCUGCAGCCAUUGCAGCUGCCACAACCACAUUAGCACAGGAAGAGCCAGUGGCAGCGCCAGAGCCGAAGAAGGAGACUGAAAGUGAAGCUGAAGAUAACCUUGAUGAUUUAGAAAAGCACCUGCGUGAAACGGCCCCGAGAUCAAUGAGG
rnacentral:lncRNA from 1 species